rnacentral:rRNA from 1 species
AGCAGUCGCCACGGUAAAACGUAGGUGGCAAGCGUUGUCCGGAAUUAUUGGGCGUAAAGGGCUCGCAGGCGGUUUCUUAAGUCUGAUGUGAAAGCCCCCGGCUCAACCGGGGAGGGUCAUUGGAAACUGGGAAACUUGAGUGCAGAAGAGGAGAGUGGAAUUCCACGUGUAGCGGUGAAAUGCGUAGAGAUGUGGAGGAACACCAGUGGCGAAGGCGACUCUCUGGUCUGUAACUGACGCUGAGGAGCGAAAGCGUGGGGAGCGAACAGGAUUAGAUACCCGCGUAGUCCCUGUCUCUUAUAC